GAACAAAUUCCUCAAGAAAGCCUGAUACCUGGGAGGCACUAAACGAACAUUAGUGACUAGCUGUUGAAUUUAUUCAACACUGAAUGACUACUCUUUGCAGACUCUGUGUUAAGAGAUGCGAGUAAAGUGGUGAAAACAAGCAAGUCUCUCCCCUUGCGGAAAUCACAUGCAUAAUAAAUGCAUAAACCAAUAAAGAUUGUGUUUACAGAUAGUGUCAAAUGCUAUUUAAAAAUAAUGCAGAUUGAUUAAGGUGGGGAGUAUGAGAAGGUGUGAAGCACGCAAGAAUCUCGGGGCAGAGCAGCCCAGGCAGGGAGAAGAGCAGAGGAGGAAGGAGCUCGGCAGGUGACUGACGGCAGGACACGCCUGCAGGAGUCAAGUGGGACAGGAGACAGCGAAGUCCCAGACACAGCAGGGACCUUGAAGGCUUGGUGGGCUAAUCAAAACUUGGGCUGGAUCCGAAUGAGAGUAGAAGUCAUUGGAAAGAAGGAUUUUAGUAGGAAAAUGAUACCAACUGACUUGCGUUUGGAGAUGGCUCCAACUGCAAUGUGGAGACUGGACGGUCCCGGCAGAGCGGAAGCGGAUGACCAGGCCAGAGCGUUAUGGAACGAGAGCGAAGUCAGCGGAGGUUGUGAUGAGACAUCUGGUUUUAUUUUUUUCCAAUUUUCAGUACAAUUGUAAAGAACACAGUCCUAUAUGAUCCUAACUUUUUUGAGAUUCCUUUUUAAAGAAGUCUGUUUCUAGGGAGGUUGCUAUGGAGACUGAGCAAAGCCUGGAAGAUAACGGGAGUCUGCGGAAGACAUCUGCCCAGCUGAGGCCUGUAUUUCUCGGCUUCCUCCUGACUCCUUUCUGCCCCUCCCUCUACCACCUCCCCUGGUUCCAAGUUUGGUCACGUGAGCUCUUCUGGCUAAUGGAAUCUGUGCGUGUCGUUUCCCAGGCAGCUUCAAGAAGCCAUUGUGCUGCUAGACACAGACACUUGACUGUCGGCUGGGUAAAUGGGGAAGGUGCUGAGGCCCUAAAGGAUAGAGGAGCCACAAGAUGGAGGAAGCCUGAGUUCUAGAAACAACCCCUGGAGGAAAGAACACCACUUAAGGGGGUCAAAGACUGGACAGUUAGACCUGUGGAAAUAAACUCUAAUUUUAAGUCAUUAAAUUAGCUGCUAAAAUGUGGGGGGUGUUCAUAUAGCAGUUUGUAUUGCCAAAACCAAUACACAUGCUUGUUAUGAACACUGCAAAUGAUGCAGAGUCCAUCACUUGGCAAUGCAGCUUUGAUAAGUUAAACUACAAGCAGUGCUAGUUUUGUUUACCCUGGACAAUUUACUUAAGCUCUCUGAGUCCUAAUUCACUCAUAUGGAAACGACAUCUUCCCUAAAUAUUUUCUUCUCCACUCUGAACAUCCCCAGUUCUGUCCACCAUUCUUCAAAUAGAGGAAUUUUGGAUCUUUCAUUAUCUUUGCCUUUUGCAAAAGCUCUCAGUUUGGUCAAUGCUCCUCUUAAAGGGCACCACUCAGAAUUAACUACAUCACCAUAAAGGAGUCUAAUACAGUGGGGUCAUCACCUUACUUGCUUUGAAGACUAGAAGACUAGACAUCCUUUGUAGUUAAAGAUUGCAUGGAAACGGGUGAAACCAGUGUCUCUCUACGUAUUAAGAUAGUAAGGAGCUAAUAUUUGUAAGUGAGCCUACACCUUCGAUCUGUACUGAUGCAAUCAUAUCCUAGAAGCUGAGAUUGAAUUUCACUGUAUUUGUUUCAAUUCAUUGUCUUACCUUGGGUGUCACCUGUCACAUU
ensembl:lncRNA